GGGCGGGUGCUAUACAUGCAAGUCGAGCGAAUCGAUGGGAGCUUGCUCCCUGAGAUUAGCGGCGGACGGGUGAGUAACACGUGGGCAACCUGCCUAUAAGACUGGGAUAACUUCGGGAAACCGGAGCUAAUACCGGAUACGUUCUUUUCUCGCAUGAGAGAAGAUGGAAAGACGGUUUACGCUGUCACUUAUAGAUGGGCCCGCGGCGCAUUAGCUAGUUGGUGAGGUAAUGGCUCACCAAGGCGACGAUGCGUAGCCGACCUGAGAGGGUGAUCGGCCACACUGGGACUGAGACACGGCCCAGACUCCUACGGGAGGCAGCAGUAGGGAAUCUUCCGCAAUGGACGAAAGUCUGACGGAGCAACGCCGCGUGAACGAAGAAGGCCUUCGGGUCGUAAAGUUCUGUUGUUAGGGAAGAACAAGUACCAGAGUAACUGCUGGUACCUUGACGGUACCUAACCAGAAAGCCACGGCUAACUACGUGCCAGCAGCCGCGGUAAUACGUAGGUGGCAAGCGUUGUCCGGAAUUAUUGGGCGUAAAGCGCGCGCAGGUGGUUCCUUAAGUCUGAUGUGAAAGCCCACGGCUCAACCGUGGAGGGUCAUUGGAAACUGGGGAACUUGAGUGCAGAAGAGGAAAGUGGAAUUCCAAGUGUAGCGGUGAAAUGCGUAGAGAUUUGGAGGAACACCAGUGGCGAAGGCGACUUUCUGGUCUG
rnacentral:rRNA from 2 species